rnacentral:ncRNA from 1 species
GAUAGAGGAUGCGGUUGACAAGAGUAAGCGUGCCGAGCCCGGGCGGCCGAGACGCACGCCGAAAGGGGAAACCGCCGAGGUUUGCGGCGUCUGCCCGGACGCUGCCUGCCGGGACGGCCGUGAACAGCGGCCGGACUGUCACAAACGUGGAGAGCUAUCUG